UACAGAGGGUGGAAGCGUUAAUCGGAAUUACUGGGCGUAAAGCGCGCGUAGGUGGUUUGUUAAGUUGGAUGUGAAAGCCCCGGGCUCAACCUGGGAACUGCAUUCAAAACUGACAAGCUAGAGUAUGGUAGAGGGUGGUGGAAUUUCCUGUGUAGCGGUGAAAUGCGUAGAUAUAGGAAGGAACACCAGUGGCGAAGGCGACCACCUGGACUGAUACUGACAAUGAGGUGCGAAAGCGUGGGGAGCAAACAGG
rnacentral:rRNA from 1 species